CUGGAAACUUCUGUCCCUUUGUCCACUCCCGAUGAGUCAGAGUAGCCGAUGGAGAGGAGUGCAGAGCCCAGGCCAGAAACAAGUGGCAAAGGCAAGGUGUGUCUCCUCUCUAAGGUCGCUAGGCCACAGCAGCAGUGGUUUUCGUUUGGGCCUGACAAGGAGCCGGUGCUGUCGUCACCCAUGACUCUGGAGGCCCUGUUCAUCCAUCAGGCCUGGAAACACCAGCAGGACUGGCCAAUCCACCCCAGAGCUCAGCCAGCAUGGACAGUCAGUCUUGGCCAGCAGCACCUUCCUCAGGCCUGAGAAGAGGAGGCCAGGUCUGCCUUGCACAAGCUGCAAACUUUGGUUCCCUGCACCCCAGGCAGAGGGGGCUGCCCUGCCAGAGGCAGCUCCCACGUCCCCUGAGCCUGAGUCAUUACCUGCUAAAGAGGGGACAGCUCUUCAAAAGACCUGUGGCCUCCUGGGUCCCGGCAGCAUCCGUGAAGUGAAAAGAGCAGAAUGUUGGUUGGCACAGUUUUCUGAAUCUCUCCCUGGGCCAUCUGUUCCAGUUACUGCUGUUUUCUAACAAAGCACCCCAAAACUUAGCCGCUUACCACAGCCAUCUUCCCAUACUCCUGGUUCUGCAGGUCUGGAAGUUGCACAGAGCACAGGAGGGCUGACUUGCUUCCAUCCUGUAAAGUCUGAGGCCUCCACUGCAAAGACUCCACAGCUGAGAGGGACCCAACAGCUGGAACCAUCUGAAGAUGUCAUCUCUCAUGUUUCUCCCACAUGAUGCUGGCUGUUGGUGGGACCUCAGCCCAGGCUGUUGGCCACAACAGCCUCUGCAUGUGGCUUGGGCUUCCUCAGAGCAUGGUGGCCUCAUCACAUUCAGACUUCUUGACUACAGGCUCAGGGCUCCAGAGAGCUGCACACGACUGACGUAACCACGGAGGGGGCCACGUAGGGCUCCAGCCGCCUGCAGAUCUCCAGGGAGGCACAGUCGAUGACAAGGAGGCCCGGCCCAUUGCUGUACCAGACCUCAGAGCCGCUGUUGACCACCUCCAUGGCCUUCACUGGGUACGGGUUCUGCCGUGCGUCUUCGUCCGCGAUGCUGAACUUGGACCUGUUGGCUGUGUGUGAGCACAGGUAGGAGCAGCUGUCCUUGGGGGCGCCCCGCACCACGGGAAACACAGCCACAAGCCCAUCGGCGAGGCCCGCUAAGACCAGGUAGGAAUUCUGAAGGAAGGAGACAGGGAUGUGUCACAUCCUUCCAUUUCACACAUUCCAAGAGAGACACAGAGUAGGCACUGGACUCAUCUGCACCCAAACCAGGCGGGCAGUCACUUUCCACCAGUGCGCCUCAGGGCAGCAAAUCUCUUAGAACGGCCGGGGCUGCCCCUAAAGAAGUGCAGCUCUGACUCUGCAGAGCCGUAUCUACCAUCCCUGCAGCAAAGAAAGGAAUGUGCCGCCCAGAGGCAGGGCCUGUGGCACCAAGUAAGGCUGCGUGUCACCUGGACCACAUGGGCUGCCUCUGCUUCUGCCAGCUUCUUGCAGGGCGAGCAGCAGGGAGCUGCCUUCUCCUUGAGGCCACCGAGGCCUCCUUCAGAGGCAGGACCUGGUGCCCCCGCCCUUUUCUCGGUGCCGCUUAACAUGACAGCAGUGGGGGCAUGGCAAGCAUCUGUGCACUGCCCCCUGCCUGCCACCCCCCCCACCAGGCAGAGUGUUCCAUAAGGAUGGGCUCCCAGCCCACCAGCAUCCCCGUGGCACUGGCCUGGCACAGGGAAGGGCUCAGUCUCCUUCAUCUUGGUGGCCCUGUGACUCCACCUGGCUCCUGCUCCAAGUGGAUGACAUGUGUUUGCUGAACUAAUUCUGGAAGAAAUCGCUUCCUACUCAGCCCUCUUCUGGAGGCCUGUCUCAGCCUGCUGAGCCCUCAUCCCAGCUUACAUCUAUCGAGAUGCCUGUGCUUCAGCUGACGUUGACAGGGUCCUCAGGGUGCCCCCCACCCCCUCAAUGAAGCAUGAGCUCUUCUACACCCGCCAGAGGUCACCGGGCAGAGGCCAAAGUUGCAGGGACCUUGCUGAAUGCUAGGCCCACCCCAGACCGCCCCGGGGCACCUCCCAGGGCAGAGCCAGGAACAGAGUGCAGCUCCGCAGCCUAGACACCGCAUCGGCUGUGGUGGGGGUGGGAAGAGGCCUGCAGAACAAAGCUGGAGUCAGGGCAGAGCAGGGAGCUGGGCCUCAUGCCAGUGAGGGGGCAGGGCAGAAAGCCUCCUUGUGGGGAGCUGGGGGAGCUCAGGAGGCUGGCUGUGCAGGGCAAUGGAGUGGAGACCCGUAGCUCACUGUCCAGGACAACAUGCUCUAAGAAAGCAUAUCGAGAUCCAUCCCCAGGACUUUAGGGAAAGAAGGCAGCCAAGGCAAACAGGCUCCAGGUCUCUAUCUGCAGUCCUGGCUCAGGCCCCGGCCAGGGCGGUGAGUGCCACGUCCCGGCUGGGUGUGAACGUGCGUGCGCGUGCAAGAAUGCAGGCUUUGCCCUGGCGGCCUCGGAGGGGGCAGACACCCUGCGCAGGAGGCCCUGCAGAGGCCCUGCACAGAGCAGGCUUUAUUCCCUCUGGUCGUGCAGGAGGUGGUGCCCUGGCUGGGGGCUCUGGCCAGCGGUGGCCUCAAUAACACUUGGUGUCGUGUUCUCCUGCGCUCUGGUACUACGGGCCUGGUCCCAAGCUGCGUAGCCUUGCUGUGGGGCCGUGGUCAUAAAUGACUCUAAGGUUCAUUUCAUACCUGUUUUUUUUUUUUUUUUUUUUAAAUGAAACUGAAGAAGGGUGAAGAGAAGAGUUCAUGUAUUUUGCCACCAUCCAGAAGUAAUAAUAAUACUCAUUUACC